GGACUUUAAGUCCACUGAAGGAACGUUGAAGACGACGACGUUGAUAGGCCGGGUGUGUAAGCGCAGCGAUGCGUUGAGCUAACCGGUACUAAUGAACCGUGAGGCUUAACCUUACAACGCCGAAG
rnacentral:rRNA from 3 species